AAUGCCGUGUAGUAGCUCACUUAAUCCGCAUAAAGACCUUCGUAGUGAGAAGUACUAAAAAUAUCCCCAUUUGAGACAGCAGGGAGCUGAGUCAGAGAGAGCGUGUGUAAUUUGCCCAGCGUCCCACAGAUAGUAAAUGGCAGAGCCGAGCUCCUUCCCUGCCCCGCCAGCGCCUGCCUUCCGCCUCUCGGAUCUCCUGUGUUCAGGAAACCUGUUGAAGGUAGGACUGCUAAAUGCACCAGGACCAACUCGGCAGCAAAGAGUCGGAUGGAAGCCUCAGGAAAGCAGCCAACAGCCGACCAAAGGGAGUACAGAUCUGUGCUGCAGUAGCUACACACUGCAAAGCCAGUUUGGAGCUACAUACAUUGCCAGAAAUCUAGGCAGUGUUUGGGAGCUGCAAUGCCUGAGCUCAAGGCAUUGUAGGCCUCCUGCCCAAACUGAUACCACCUGCUGUUCCCCCUCCCUUUGGGACAGAGAAGUGUCAUGAGAAAGGGGACAGAACAAAGGCAGAACAAACCAAAGAGGUAAUCUCAGGUGGGGAGUAUGGUAGAAGGACCCUGGGGGAUGAGGAGAGUCCAAUCACUCACUAAUGAAAAGGUGCCAUUUUCCCUGCCAGCUGUCCCUCAAGCUGUGUACAAAAGGAUGGUUGAUCUGUCGCUAGGGACAAAGAAAACAGGAAGUUAGGGAGGAAUAGCGUCAUUGAGAAUAAAGGCAGCCAAGAAAUCAUUACCCAGAUGUGCAGAGGGAGAAUUGCUGCCUCACUUUUCAGUUCAGAGGAACUCAGUAAUUGGGACUGACUGCCUGGUAAUCCUCAAACCAGCAAAUACUAAGGAAUACACUGGGACAUGAAUUAAGAGAUUUCCCUGGUAGGCAUGGAAAAACUGUUGACAGCUGAUAGCUACUCUUCCCAGGACCUACUUUAAACUAGGUUGAAGUAGAUGGAGGAGGCAGAACCAGGAAAAGAAGGUGGGCAAGAAAGGUACUUUCCCUACCAAUGGCCUAGCUCUUUCAACAAUCCUUUCCAUGACUAGGUGCAUACCUGGAUGCUAACCUCCUCUUUGCACUGCCUCACGGUGUCCCUCUGUAGCACCUUUACCUUGGGCACCACCUAUAGGAGAGUAGUGAUGAAUAGAGAAUAGAGCUAUUGAAUUGUUUAUUCCUCCCAACCUGUCUGGAAUCCACAUUGGAAACAGACAAGAGAAUGUGGUACCUGAGCCCCUACCUUCACUGCAAAUACAGCUUUCUGGGUACAAUCUACCACCUUGAGGACAGUUCCAAAGGAGCCUUUAGCCACAAGGCCUAAAAUCUGUACAGAGAAAUGGAGAACAGGGCAAUUGAGACUGGUCAUUUCUAAUUCCUCCCAAAGACUGAGACCCCACUCAGGGAUUCCACUGACUUACCUUUAGCUGCUGCUGCUCCCUAAUGGGCCUAACAGGAAACUCUGGUAGAAAGAGGUUGAUGAACUGAGGCACUGGCCACUCAGGCAGAGGCUUCUCUACCAGCAGUGAGGCUGGCCUUAGCGACUCCCGGAACAGACAGUGAUGCCCCUGUAGUUUCCACAGUUCUUCCAGAUCUGACCUGAUGGUUCCCAUACCUGACCAGAGGGUCUUCCAGCCUUGGGCCCAGGGACCCCAGAUAUGGCCAUCCUGCUGAGAACCAAGGGAGCCACUCUAAACUUUCCGCUCCUGAGGCAUAGCUGGUUCCACCCAUCUUACUAGGCACUCCCUCCCCUUAAGUCUCCACCCCUAGAGGUACAUUUUUCAACAUGAAGGAAAAUUCGUCACCUUUGCUUUAUGCUAAGCCCUGGAUUUUCUGGACACAAUUCAAAUCCUCUAGGAAAAUAAUUGGUGGACAUUUUCACCACAAUGCAUUAUUAACACAGCUUGAACCUUAGUAUUGAGCUGUGAUGCUUUCAUAGUAUAGCCUCCCUGCCCCACCCCCACAUCCAGUAAUCACUGCCAUGCUCCUAACCAAAAACUUCCCAGGCCUCAAGAGCCCAUGUCUCCCUCUCCUCCCCUCAGUAGGCUGCCAGAGCCCCAUAGCCUACCUUGUGAGAAGCAGCCACCCGGGUGUGUUGACCCUGCCGACAGCUCACUGCUCCCAUCCCCAGCCUCUGCCUCCUCUCUCCUGCUAAAUCUGCUGUCCCAGUUACAUAAGCAAUUCCUCUCCCUGAUACUGCAUGACACAAGCCCCGCCUCUUCCAAUGUGCAGAAACCCAUCAGCAUGGGGGCAGAGUCACACUAGUACUAGAUAUUUUUGUGAUAAAGCUUCAGGGUAGAGGAGGGAAGAGGCCACCCUCAGAAUGGCAGCUGCUGGAUGUCUUGGGUUGACAACAGA